AGGACAACCAGCAAGGAUAGAAGUCUUUGUCAGAAUAAGGUUUGCCUGACCAGUUUUCAAAGCCAUUUCUCGUGACAUAUUCUUGGCUUUUUUUGAUCUCCAACAUAUGACCAUGGUACAUGCAGCAGGGAUAAAGAUAACACUGAUCAUAACAAAUGGGAAAUAUAUGACUAUUAUAGAACCUAUAUCUGGAAUGUGAUGAUCAGGAUUAAAAUGCCCAUUGCAAAAAGUGA